GUCCAGGUAGCUGCCUUCGCCAUGGAUGUUCCUCCUGAUCUCUACGCAUUUCACUGCUACACCAGGAAUUCCGCUACCCUCUACCACAUUCUAGUCAGCCAGUAUCCACUGCAGUUCCCAGGUUGAGCCCAGGGAUUUCACAACGGACUUAAAUAACCACCUACGCACGCUUUACGCCCAGUAAUUCCGAGUAACGCUUGCACCCUUCGUAUUACCGCGGCUGCUGGCACGAAGUUAGCCGGUGCUUAUUCUUUGGGUACCGUCAUCCCAACCGGGUAUUAACCAGCUGGAUUUCUUUCCCAACAAAAGGGCUUUACAACCCGAAGGCCUUCUUCACCCACGCGGUAUGGCUGGAUCAGGCUUGCGCCCAUUGUCCAAUAUUCCCCACUGCUGCCUCCCGUAGGAGUCUGGACCGUGUCUCAGUUCCAGUGUGGCUGAUCAUCCUCUCAGACCAGCUACGGAUCGUCGCCUUGGUGGGCCUUUACCCCGCCAACUAGCUAAUCCGACAUCGGCUCAUUCAAUCGCGCAAGGUCCGAAGAUCCCCUGCUUUCACCCGUA
rnacentral:rRNA from 1 species